rnacentral:tRNA from 1 species
GGGGUUGUGGCUCAGCGGUAGGGCACUCACUUAGCAAGUGCAAGGCACUGAGUUCCAUCCUCAGCACCACA